rnacentral:rRNA from 1 species
CGCGGGGGGGGGGGCUAAUACAUGCAAGUAGAACGCUGAAGAGAGGAGCUUGCUCUUCUUGGAUGAGUUGCGAACGGGUGAGUAACGCGUAGGUAACCUGCCUUGUAGCGGGGGAUAACUAUUGGAAACGAUAGCUAAUACCGCAUAACAAUGGAUGACACAUGUCAUUUAUUUGAAAGGGGCAAUUGCUCCACUACAAGAUGGACCUGCGUUGUAUUAGCUAGUAGGUGAGGUAACGGCUCACCUAGGCGACGAUACAUAGCCGACCUGAGAGGGUGAUCGGCCACACUGGGACUGAGACACGGCCCAGACUCCUACGGGAGGCAGCAGUAGGGAAUCUUCGGCAAUGGGGGCAACCCUGACCGAGCAACGCCGCGUGAGUGAAGAAGGUUUUCGGAUCGUAAAGCUCUGUUGUAAGUCAAGAACGAGUGUGAGAGUGGAAAGUUCACACUGUGACGGUAGCUUACCAGAAAGGGACGGCUAACUACGUGCCAGCAGCCGCGGUAAUACGUAGGUCCCGAGCGUUGUCCGGAUUUAUUGGGCGUAAAGCGAGCGCAGGCGGUUUGAUAAGUCUGAAGUUAAAGGCUGUGGCUCAACCAUAGUUCGCUUUGGAAACUGUCAAACUUGAGUGCAGAAGGGGAGAGUGGAAUUCCAUGUGUAGCGGUGAAAUGCGUAGAUAUAUGGAGGAACACCGGUGGCGAAAGCGGCUCUCUGGUCUGUAACUGACGCUGAGGCUCGAAAGCGUGGGGAGCGAACAGGAUUAGAUACCCUGGUAGUCCACGCCGUAAACGAUGAGUGCUAGGUGUUGGAUCCUUUCCGGGAUUCAGUGCCGCAGCUAACGCAUUAAGCACUCCGCCUGGGGAGUACGACCGCAAGGUUGAAACUCAAAGGAAUUGACGGGGGCCCGCACAAGCGGUGGAGCAUGUGGUUUAAUUCGAAGCAACGCGAAGAACCUUACCAGGUCUUGACAUCCCGAUGCUAUUUCUAGAGAUAGAAAGUUACUUCGGUACAUCGGUGACAGGUGGUGCAUGGUUGUCGUCAGCUCGUGUCGUGAGAUGUUGGGUUAAGUCCCGCAACGAGCGCAACCCCUAUUGUUAGUUGCCAUCAUUCAGUUGGGCACUCUAGCGAGACUGCCGGUAAUAAACCGGAGGAAGGUGGGGAUGACGUCAAAUCAUCAUGCCCCUUAUGACCUGGGCUACACACGUGCUACAAUGGUUGGUACAACGAGUUGCGAGUCGGUGACGGCAAGCUAAUCUCUUAAAGCCAAUCUCAGUUCGGAUUGUAGGCUGCAACUCGCCUACAUGAAGUCGGAAUCGCUAGUAAUCGCGGAUCAGCACGCCGCGGUGAAUACGUUCCCGGGCCUUGUACACACCGCCCGUCACACCACGAGAGUUUGUAACACCCGAAGUCGGUGAGGUAACCUUUUGGAGCCAGCCGCUAAGGUGGGAUAGAAG